AUGAUCAAGUUGGUUUCUGUAUAUGCCACAUGUUUUUAAUAUCUGGGAUAAGGUUGUUUCGGUAAGAUUCAGACCAACUGUAGAAUUGCAUUUUGAUUCCUGGAUUUAGGACUCAUUUUGGUGUAUUCGACACACUUCAAGAAAUUGGGAAGCGCGAAGGUCUAAAAGGUCUCUAAGGUAGUGGUUGGAUAGCCUAUUGAAGUAAUUUAACUAAAUAAUACCUUCUGCUAAUAUUUGAUACACCCACUAAUCCCACUCACAUAUAUUUUCAAUGCUAUCACAUACUAUAGCAAUUUAGUUUGUUGGACAUGAUGUAUAUCCUAUCAAGCUGACUUUAUUGGACACAGAAAUAUUAAUAACUUAAUUAUCUGUGUUGUUGCCAAGUUAUGCUGAACGAAUACCAACAAUAUUCUAAAACCAUACCUCAUAUUGUCAAUACGCUGUUGACGCUAGCCAUUUUAUUAGUUCUAGUAAUAAUGAACCUUAUUUCCAUGGCAGGGGCUUGAGUCCUAGAUUGAUCAUGUAUAUGACUCAGGGAGCACUUUUCUUCGCAUCUUAUGAAUCUUUCAAGAGGGUGUUUUCUUUAGUUAUCCCGUAGCCUAAAAUAGAAACGUUUCCAUAUGAACAUAAAAAGGAAGAUGAUUGUGCAACUCUACCUUUACCAAGCUAACAAAGAUGGUACCAAGAUAAUUAAUUAACAGGUACCAAGAUGGUACAGGAAAAGAAACAGAAAACAUCAUAAAAAUAAAAAGAAGCCUCCUAUACUCUUCUUUCUAACAUAUCCACUAAAUCCAUAUACGGGUUCAAACUAUCUAUAAAGAUGAUUUUUUUCAAUAGUUGAGGUGUAGUUGGUAGAUUGUUUGAUUUUGAUGCCCUGGUAAUUUUUAGCUUUUCUUGAAUCCCAUGUUUUUGACCAGGUGAUUUUAGAGCUGCAGCUGCUUGUCUCUUUUGUAUAUUAGAGAAGCGAAUAGCUAGGUAUUUUAUUCUAUACGGGACCUUGUUUGGAGUUUGAAGAAUAUUGUUGAAGAGGCUGAUCUCUAUGUUUUCUAGAAUUCUUAAACAAACCACCUACUAUCCUUUCCCUCCCAACAAAUCAAGAAAGUUCAUAUACUGAUUCAGAUUCACUAAGAGAUUGCUUCUACACUAGUAAAAUAGAUUAUGAAGACAUUAGUAACUCUAGAUAAGUAUGCCCUUCAAAGAAAGCAUUGUUCCCUCUCCAGCCAUAAAAUCCAUAGGAUACAUCAAAGAAUGGUUCUCCAUAUCUUCUUCAGCCUUCUAGGCACCCUUUGAGCAUGCCAGUCUUCACAAACUAUGUAAUAUACUGAGGCAUCACCCAAGAGAUUCCACAAAUUCUUAAAAUCCCGGCAUUGUCUAGGUACACUCUGCAAUGGAGAAAAAGAUGAUUCACUGUUUCCUAGCCUCUUCAUAUAGAUAACAUCUAUUACUAGUGGUGAUUGUAGAGAACAAGUACUAGGUUCAUCUAAAUCCAGUGUUUUUGAUACUGGGUGUGUGUGAGUGUAUAAUGGAUUUAGUUGUAAGAAAAUAAAGGUUGACCCAUUAAUAAAAUUGUGGAUCCUCCUCUCUGUUAAAUGAAGUGAAGCCUCUUUUCUGCAAGUUGUAUGUAGCAAGCCUUCUGAACUGCUGUCCACCUUAGUAUUGCUACCUUAAUAGUUAACGAGAGCUUUUGUUUUCCAAAUCAUCUUCUGAGGCAAAUUGGCAUCCCACUGACCUGACUUCUUUAUCAGUAUACUGUUAAUAAUUUUUUAACUGAAUUUUUUUAUCAUCACGUACUUCUCAGAUUAGUGAAUCCACCAUACUUUGAUCAAUUGAGACUUGAUUUAUAGUAGUUGUAGCAUGGAUUUUAUAGAUGUUUGCAUACUACUGACACUGUUUGCAUUAUAGAUUCCUGAAGAGGAGAAAAACCUGGACCCUCAUAGUCCCUUAAUUCACGUUUGUCAUUUUAUGAAGGACACAACUCAAAAUCAAGUUGUAAGUACAUGUGUAAAGAUAUUGUUGCCAUAACUGUUCAUUUCAGGGAAGGUUCUUCCUUGAAUAAUUUGUUUUUGGUUCCCCUCUCUCAAUUUGUAAGGUGCUAGGGUUACUUCAGAAUCAUCAUUAGGGAAGACCAACAACGAUAAACAUUGGGCAAGUGAUAUUGUUGUUAUGGGCAGUGGCACCAAGCAUGAGUUUGUUGGAGAAGAUUUUUGGAGUAUGUAUUUUUCUAUUUCUUGACUCACCUGGGUCUUGCCCAGCACUAUCAAGAAUGCAUAUGGCAGUUGGUUCCAAUGUAGAGUUGGAAAAUCAAUCAAAAAUAUAUUGCCAAUUUUAAAUUUUGGCUUUGUUCUAUUUGCUAUCACAUUAUUGAUGUUGGCAUGUUGCUUGCUGGUGCUGGUUAUGAUAUCAUGUUUCGUCUGUAAGCAUUUGAUGUGUAAUUCCAAUGGUUUAUACAGAGUGUGCAUCAUUAUCAACUAUCCUUCGAGGUAAAUGGUAAUUCAAGUAUUGUGAAAGUAUGUUACAGAGGGAGAAGUUUGCGGAACACAAUGCAAAUGCCUUAGCGGUUGGCAGGGUCUCUGGCGUUGAUUCUAUAGAGCAAAUAACAAACUGCUGCAUUCAUUCUAUCAAGAACGCUGAAGAGGCAGAAUUUAUUGCAUGUAUUUUAUGCAGAGCUUAUGACUUUAGCAAGUCUGGUUUUGGUCCACGGACUAUCAUCCUUUGUGAUCAGGUUUUCCUCUACAUUUCUUUAUAUGUCUUAUUCAAUAAGUAUAUGAACUGAAAUACUUUAUCCACCAUUUGUUUUUUCAGUG